rnacentral:rRNA from 1 species
UACGAAGGGGACUAGCGUUGUUCGGAAUUACUGGGCGUAAAGCGUGCGCAGGCGGCGCGUUAAGACAGGUGUGAAAGCCCCGAGCUUAACUUGGGAAUUGCGCUUGUGACUGGCGUGCUGGAGUGUGGCAGAGGGAGGUGGAAUUCCACGUGUAGCAGUGAGAUGCGUAGAGAUGUGGAGGAACACCGAUGGCGAAGGCAGCCUCCUGGGCCAGCACUGACGCUCAUGCACGAAAGCGCGGGGAGCAAACAGG